UAGAGUUUGAUCCUGGCUCAGAUUGAACGCUGGCGGCAGGCUUAACACAUGCAAGUCGAGCGGGGGAGGUUGCUUCGGUAACUGACCUAGCGGCGGACGGGUGAGUAAUGCUUAGGAAUCUGCCUAUUAGUGGGGGACAACAUUCCGAAAGGGAUGCUAAUACCGCAUACGCCCUACGGGGGAAAGCAGGGGAUCUUCGGACCUUGCGCUAAUAGAUGAGCCUAAGUCGGAUUAGCUAGUUGGUGGGGUAAAGGCCUACCAAGGCGACGAUCUGUAGCGGGUCUGAGAGGAUGAUCCGCCACACUGGGACUGAGACACGGCCCAGACUCCUACGGGAGGCAGCAGUGGGGAAUAUUGGACAAUGGGCGGAAGCCUGAUCCAGCCAUGCCGCGUGUGUGAAGAAGGCCUUUUGGUUGUAAAGCACUUUAAGCGAGGAGGAGGCUCUUAAGGUUAAUACCCUUGAUGAGUGGACGUUACUCGCAGAAUAAGCACCGGCUAACUCUGUGCCAGCAGCCGCGGUAUA
rnacentral:rRNA from 1 species